GAUUUUAACUGAAAAAGUCAUCAAUAACAAAGUGGUAUAAGUCAUCAAGAUCUAUAACUUUUAUUUUAGUCAUUUCUUCAUCCGAGAAAGUGAUUUGUAACAUUGUUCAAAAAAUGUACAUAUCUCUUAUAUAGUUUAUAAACUAUAACAGAGAUAUGUAAUUUUUGUGAACAAUGUUAGUAUCACUUUAUCGGAUGAAGAAAUGACCAAAAUAAAAGUUAUAGAUACUGAUGAGUUAUACAACUUUAUUGUUGAUGACUUUUUAGUUGAAAUC
rnacentral:pre_miRNA from 1 species